AUUUAAAUAGUUUAUAAAAAAAAUAUUGAUUUGUGGAGUCAAAGAUAUGAAGAUUCAUUUUAGAUA
rnacentral:tRNA from 1 species